rnacentral:tRNA from 1 species
GCCGGGGUAGCUCAAUCGGUAGAGCGUGUGGCUCUUAGCUUCACAGCGAGAUCACCUCAAGGGUGUGUACACUCCAGACUUGCACAGUGUAAUUGCAUGCAUUCUAACGCAAUUCACAGUCGUGGGUUCGAGCCCCACCUUCGGCU